GACGAACCGAGCGAACGUUGUUCGGAAUCACUGGGCUUAAAGGGCGCGUAGGCGGGUUGUCUAGUCCGGGGUGAAAUCCCACAGCUCAACUGUGGAACUGCCUCGGAUACUGGCAGUCUCGAGGGUGGUAGGGGUAUGCGGAACUAUCGGUGGAGCGGUGAAAUGCGUUGAUAUCGAUAGGAACUCCGGUGGCGAAGGCGGCAUACUGGACCACUUCUGACGCUGAGGCGCGAAAGCCAGGGGAGCAAACGGGG
rnacentral:rRNA from 1 species